ensembl:snRNA U6 U6 spliceosomal RNA
GUGCUCUCUUUGUGGCACAUAUACUAAAACUGGAAUGAUACAGAGAAGAUUAGCAUGGCCCCUGCACAAGGAUGACACCCAAAUUCAUGACGCAUCCCACAUUUUU